CUUCGAUGCAUGUCUGAGGCCUCUAUUAUUGUUGCUUUUGCGCUCUUCCAUGCAAGUGGGAAAGAGAGAUAUAGCAAAGCAGACAUUGCAAUUGGGGUUAUUAAAAUGUCGAUUAAACGCCGUUUAAUCACUGUUUAAACGGUAAAACGACACAGGAAUGUUCAAACGCUGCAACGUUGCACGAAGUCGUCUAAAACGACGUUUUAUGUCGUUUAAGCGCCACGUUUUGACGUUCAAACGUAGAACCUCUUGAAACGCCACGUUUUUGGCGCUUUGGUCCAAUCUGCCAGGCUGAGGAGGAAGAAAAAGCCCACAGGCACAGGGUCACGGCCUCCACGGGCACGCACAGGCACGGGGUCACGGCUCAGAUCCGCCGCCACCCCUCCUGCGCCGCAACCUCUCCCCGCGCCACCAUCUCCCCGCCGCCGACCUUCCACCGGAUCCCAGAGAGAUGGCCACGGGCCUGUAGAUCCCCGUCGCCCGUCGCACGUCUAGUAGAGACGGCCGCGAGCCGAGGCCCCGAGGCCCGCCUGCUCUGCUCUGCAUCGCGAGAGCCCCAGCCGCCUGCUCUGCUCUUCUUCCGCCUGCUGCUCUCUGUCGCAAGUCAGCGGACGGCUGCCUGCAGCGCCUGCUCUUCUCUCCGUCGACCGUCGCAAGCCAUAGGCCGGCCGCCUACUCUGCUCUGCAGCCACGAGCACCCCGGCCGCCUGUCCCUCUUCUCCUCCACUUCAAGUUUUCAAGUCCAAGUGCCCAGAGAAGAAAUGGCCAGCAAUAGUGCCAGUGCUGAUGGAUGAAGGAAAUGAGGAUGACGAGGAAGUGUUUGUGCUUGAUGACCUUGAUGUGGAUGAUGAGGAAGAAACAAACAAUGAUGGUACCAAUGGUCAUGAGCAAGACAAGGAUGGUGCUAGUAUUGAUGAUUUGGACGAUGACUAUUGAGAGAUGAGAGAUCAUAUUUGAGACCAACCAUUUACUAUUGUGCGUUUCUUUUGGACUUGGUCAUUUUACUUCUAUCUCUAUGUGUCAUUUUAUUUGAUUGUGUGCUCUUGUGGUUGCGGUUUCGCGGACAUGUGCUUAUUGUGUGCUUGUGGGUGUGGACAUGGUCAUUUUAGAACAUGUUAUUAUGUCAAGAUGAUUGGUGUUUUCCUUCAUAUUAUAUGCAAACUUAUGAUAUAUUGUUAUUUUACCUAUAUUGCCUGAAAAGGCGUUUAAAAGACGUUUAAACGUUUAAAAGUCAAAAAUAUGCUCAUGAGCGUUUUGUCGUUUUAGCGUUUUAACAACCUUGGCAAUCACGCCUACGCACUAUUUUUCGGAUGCUUUUUCCUGGAUGUCUGUUCAAUGUUUAUUCCCAUGGUGUCACCAUGGACAUGGGCAUGGUUGAAGGCUCACAAAUGUAAUGCACUUGCCAGGUUUUCAUGGUUUGUUUUUUGCGGCCCUAAAAAGAUGAAACCACGGUGGCCAAAUUCCAUUGGACAGUACAACUAUCAUAACUGGUUGAGUACUGACAGCUACCUGCAGCCAAGGACAACCAACCAACAAAUAAUGAUCUUGCUCAGAAAGUUGUUUGUGGAUUUGUUCGGUGUUGGAAGGAAGAAGUUGUUUUGGCUGAGCAUGAUAUUAGACACUGAGUUUACGGAUGUGGAUACCAUGAUUGUGGAGGGUGUUGCAAAAGAGUUUUCGUCAGAGAUUUUGGUUUGGGUAUUAUUUACAUGCAUUACGCCACUGAGACAUAUUUAAGAAAAUAUGCUUCUCAUUCAGACAUGAAGGCAAAUGCUGGUCUCAUGGAGGUAUGCCGGAAAUUAUCGAAACACAUGAUGUACCUUUCGGUUACCCACCCUUCCAUUCUACCGCUCUCCAUCAGCGCAGAAGCUGCCCUAGAUAGGUUGCAGGAACCUGAACGCGCUUCUGUAGAGUUCAGUAUGGACGGUACGAUUGCUCAGUUGGAGCCAAGCAAGGGAACACUGGAGGAGUUUGCUCGCAUGUGGACGCGGCUCCUUCUUUACGCGG